rnacentral:lncRNA from 1 species
GUCCAUUCACUAAACCUAAGAUCAAAUUUAUACUAGCUCCAAUACACAUCUGGCUUUGCCUUCAUAUAAACACACAUACAAACAGAAUUCAAACCAGCUCAUGCAAGCUUACACUUAUCAGUCCCAUGAAUCUAAAUAGGCAUCAAAGAUAGAAUCCUCUCAUUUUUAAUAGAGUUGGAGCAACACAAUGGCCCAGAACACAAAACCAAAAUAUUAAAAUAGGCAGUUACUCGUGAUUACAAAUCUAAGUCCAUAGCGUGCAAACAAUGGCCUGUCUAGUGCCUAUCAUAACAGUCUCAUUACACACCAAGAAACAACAAGAGAAAUAAGGAAGAAACUAAAUAGAGGGGAAAUUCUGCUCUGCAAUUGCUGAACACUACAUGACAUGCAAGGGAAAUCUAAUUUCACAACUGCUGACCAUUACAUGACAUUCACUAACCACUGUAACAGGUUGAUCAAUAAACAUCUAUAACAAAAUUACUUGAAUCCAAUUAAAGAAAACUUAAAUCUGGACAUGUGAAUUCAUUUUUUUCUCAAUCAUCAACAUUUCCCUUUGCGUUUAUUCAAGACUGUACCUGGAAUUUGAAAAGCAACACAAAAAUGUUAGCAAUAGGACAGGAGCAGCAUUCAGUGCUUCAACAGCAGAAAUAGCGAAGCAAACCAGAUUAAACCAAGGAAGGAGAUGCAAAUAAUCAACAGAAUUUUGAUCAGAACUUCAAACCAAACUUUAAAAUCACCAAACUCAGAUCAUUUCAACCCAUAGAAAUCAGAGAUCAUUUAAGGAAUUAGAAACUGGAAAAAUCUCAGAAAUAGAACAGUAAAUUUCACUCUUUCAGCAAUUUUUGGAUUCUCAGUUUUUUUUAUAUUUUUCUAUUAGGUUUCAGAAUGUGUAAAGCUCCUCUCUCAUUUCUUAAGGUCUCUCCUCCUCCCCUUCUAGAGCCAGAAGGAGCGCCC